AUUUUUCCCUAUUUUCUUUUCUUCUUCCUCUCUCCUCAAUCUCUCAUCACUCUCUCGUCUCUCUAUCUCGCCGGCCGGAAAUCGUCACCACCGGCGGAUGUCGUCCAAAGACCAUAAAAUUUACACCAUUCUUCUCCCCUCACUCUCCUCUUUUUGAUUCCAAACCUCAAAACUUUCAACCCCCCCCCCCCCAAAUCCGUAGAUCUAAUUGGCCGAAACCUUAGCCGCCGACGGACCACUUUCAAUCCACCCCAAAUUCACACCAUGACCUCCCCUCACUUCCCCAUUUCCAAAUCCAUGAACCAAAUCCCUUGAAUCCCUCCCAAACUCCACGAAUAAACCAAAAUCCGAAACCCUAGCCCACUUUAUUUUGUAAAUUCGUCGAGUUUUAGACCUCUCAUUCAUAAAAUACUUGCAUAGGCAUGUAGAGCUCCACAUGAUCUAUCAUCCUAUGUUGGUUUCACCCAAAAACUCCGACAGAAGUUCGGCCGGAUUCUGGCAACCACCGCCACUGCUGGCAACCACCACACCCCAAUGCCCCUAUUGUUUUAGCCUAUUCCGACCCAAAUACGUUCGCUUCUCUCUAGCACGAUGUUGGAACUCAUUGGAUUCAAAGUGUGGUAGAAAGAAACGCUCGUUUCAAGGUCGAUUUCCUCGUGUGGUAAUUCUCUUAAAAUGAUACUGCAAUUUUGAGUCAGGACUGAAUGGAGACGAAGCAAUUUGAAGUUUUCUUGUUUUCAGUUUAUUCUAAGCUUUAAAAGAAUUUUGUUCUCUUGUAAGGUUUUGUGUGUGAGUACAUAUGAUAAAUUUUGGAUUUCUCUGAAUAUUCCAGCUGACAACAUGCUUUAAACCUCUUUAGUUCAUAGUUGCUUUGUUAUUAUGACUCAUUGUCACCUUGGUUUCAUGAGAAAUUGCUAGUAAAGAUAGAAAUGUUAGUGAUACAUGUUCAGGUGCUUAAGUUGGUAGUUUUGAACUUUUUUUUGAGAUAAAGUCCUCAGAUACUCUGUCUUGACAAAUGCAUGACAAUACGGCUUUAUGAUCGUAUUUUGCUAAGUAUGAUUAGUUGUGGGAA